UGCCAGACUCCUACGGGAGGCAGCAGUCGGGAAUAUUGCGCAAUGGAGGAAACUCUGACGCAGUGACGCCGCGUGCAGGAAGAAGGUUUUCGGAUUGUAAACUGCUUUAGACAGGGAAGAAACAAGACAGUACCUGUAGAAUAAGCUCCGGCUAACUACGUGCCAGCAGCCGCGGUAAUACGUAGGGAGCAAGCGUUAUCCGGAUUUAUUGGGUGUAAAGGGCGUGCAGCCGGGCUGACAAGUCAGAUGUGAAAUCCCGCGGCUCAACCGCGGAACUGCAUUUGAAACUGUCAGUCUUGAGUACCGGAGAGGUCAUCGGAAUUCCUUGUGUAGCGGUGAAAUGCGUAGAUAUAAGGAAGAACACCAGUGGCGAAGGCGGAUGACUGGACGGCAACUGACGGUGAGGCGCGAAAGCGUGGGGAGCAAACAGGAUUAGAUACCCCCGUA
rnacentral:rRNA from 1 species